rnacentral:misc_RNA from 1 species
AAAGACCAUCUCUAGUGAGAAUGGAAGUUCCAUGGAAACUCAGGAUAAAGAUGUUGUAUCAGAAGGCCUUGGUUCAGUUGUUGUUUAUGAUCAAUGGGUUGCCCCUCCAAUAUCUGGCCAACGCCCAAAAGCCCGAUAUGAGCAUGGAGCAGCAGUUAUUCAAGAUAAGAUGUAUAUCUACGGGGGAAACCACAAUGGUCGUUAUCUUAAUGAUCUUCAUGUUCUGGAUUUGAGAAGCUGGACGUGGUCUAAAGUUGAUGCUAAGGUUGGG